GACGAACGCUGGCGGCGUGCUUAACACAUGCAAGUCGAACGGAAAGGCCCUGCUUUUGUGGGGUGCUCGAGUGGCGAACGGGUGAGUAACACGUGAGUAACCUGCCCUUGACUUUGGGAUAACUUCAGGAAACUGGGGCUAAUACCGGAUAGGAGCUCCUGCUGCAUGGUGGGGGUUGGAAAGUUUCGGCGGUUGGGGAUGGACCCGCGGCUUAUCAGCUUGUUGGUGGGGUAGUGGCUUACCAAGGCUUUGACGGGUAGCCGGCCUGAGAGGGUGACCGGCCACAUUGGGACUGAGAUACGGCCCAGACUCCUACGGGAGGCAGCAGUGGGGAAUAUUGCACAAUGGGCGGAAGCCUGAUGCAGCAACGCCGCGUGCGGGAUGACGGCCUUCGGGUUGUAAACCGCUUUCGCCUGUGACGAAGCGUGAGUGACGGUAAUGGGUAAAGAAGCGCCAGCUAACUACGUGC
rnacentral:rRNA from 1 species